AUUGAACGCUGGCGGCAGGCCUAACACAUGCAAGUCGAGCGGAUGAAGGGAGCUUGCUCCUGGAUUCCGCGGCGGACGGGUGAGUAAUGCCUAGGAAUCUGCCUGGUAGUUGGGGAUAACGUCCGGAAACGGGCGCUAAUACCGCAUACGUCCUGAGGGAGAAAGUGGGGGAUCUUCGGACCUCACGCUAUCAGAUGAGCCUAGGUCGGAUUAGCUAGUUGGUGGGGUAAAGGCCUACCAAGGCGACGAUCCGUAACUGGUCUGAGAGGAUGAUCAGUCACACUGGAACUGAGACACGGUCCAGACUCCUACGGGAGGCAGCAGUGGGGAAUAUUGGACAAUGGGCGAAAGCCUGAUCCAGCCAUGCCGCGUGUGUGAAGAAGGUCUUCGGAUUGUAAAGCACUUUAAGUUGGGAGGAAGGGCAGUAAGUUAAUACCUUGCUGUUUUGACGUUACCAACAGAAUAAGCACCGGCUAACUUCGUG
rnacentral:rRNA from 1 species